GACAGAGGUGCCAAGCGUUAGGCGGAAUCACUGGGCUUAAAGCGUGUGUAGGCGGAUCGUUAAGUGCCUUGUGAAAUCCCACGGCUCAACCGUGGAAAGGCUGGGCAUACUGGCGGUCUUGAGCUGCCUAGGGGCGACUGGAACGAAUGGUGGAGCGGUGAAAUGCGUAGAUAUCAUUCGGAACGCCAACGGUGAAAACAGGUCGCUGGGGGCAUGCUGACGCUGAGACACGAAAGCCAGGGGAG
rnacentral:rRNA from 1 species